UGUUCCGUUUAUAUAUUCCUUCUUGUUCAUAUUGAUCCUGAUUCUUGACAAGAAAGGUUGAAUAAAUCCACGGCAAUCGACAAUUAAACAAUUUCGUCAAUUUUUCUAAUUUAAGAACAUGAGAGCAAAGUGGCGUAAGAAGCGUAUGCGCAGGCUAAAGCGUAAAAGGAGGAAGAUGCGUGCGAGGUCCAAGUAAACUGUCUUUUUUUUUUAUCUCUCUGUAGGAACGGCAUAGUAAACUCACCGAGAUGUCAUAAUUUCUAGAUAAAUUUAUCAGAAGUCCAACAUGCUCUAUGAUCUUGUAACAACCAUUCCACCAAUGUACCGUUCACACAGAGAGAUAAUUUUAUAAGCCUUUAUUUUGAUCAUCUUAAAUAAAAUGGAAACUCGACGUACACAAAUUUA